UACAGAGGCCCCGAGCGUUAAUCGGAAUCACUGGGCUUAAAGGGUGCGUAGGCGGGCCAGUAAGCGCUUUGUGAAAUCCCACGGCUCAACCGCGGAACCGCUGGGCAUACUGGCGGUCUUGGGCCACUCAGGGGUCACUGGAACAAGCGGUGGAGCGGUGAAAUGCGUAGAUAUCGCUUGGAACGCCAAAGGUGAAGACAGGUGACUGGGGGUGUGCCGACGCUGAGACGCGAAAGCCAGGGGAGCAAACGGG
rnacentral:rRNA from 1 species